rnacentral:rRNA from 1 species
CCCUGCGCCGAAAAUGUACCGGGGCUAAACAUAUUACCGAAGCUGUGGACUACACCAUUAGGUGUAGUGGUAGGAGAGCGUUCUAAGGGCGUUGAAGGUCGAUCGUGAGGACGGCUGGAGCGCUUAGAAGUGAGAAUGCCGGUAUGAGUAGCGAAAGACAGGUGAGAAUCCUGUCCACCGUAUGACUAAGGUUUCCUGGGGAAGGCUCGUCCGCCCAGGGUUAGUCGGGACCUAAGCCGAGGCCGAUAGGCGUAGGCGAUGGACAACAGGUUGAUAUUCCUGUACCAGUUGUUUUUGUUUGAGCAAUGGAGGGACGCAGUAGGCUAAGGAAUGCAUGCGAUUGGAAGUGCAUGUCCAAGCAAUGAGUCUUGAGUAGAGUUAAAUGCUUUACUCUCUAAGGACAAGUUGUGACGGGGAGCGAAAUAAUAGUAGCGAAGUUCCUGAUGUCACACUGCCAAGAAAAGCUUCUAGUGAGAAAACAACUGCCCGUACCGUAAACCGACACAGGUAGUCGAGGAGAGUAUCCUAAGGUGAGCGAGCGAACUCUCGUUAAGGAACUCGGCAAAAUGACCCCGUA